rnacentral:rRNA from 1 species
GAGUUUGAUCGUGGCUCAGAUUGAACGCUGGCGGCAUGCCUUACACAUGCAAGUCGAACGGCAGCAUGAUCUAGCUUGCUGGAUUGAUGGCGAGUGGCGAACGGGUGAGUAAUACAUCGGAACGUGCCCUGUAGUGGGGGAUAACUAGUCGAAAGAUUAGCUAAUACCGCAUACGACCUGAGGGUGAAAGUGGGGGACCGCAAGGCCUCAUGCUAUAGGAGCGGCCGAUGUCUGAUUAGCUAGUUGGUGGGGUAAAGGCCCACCAAGGCGACGAUCAGUAGCUGGUCUGAGAGGACGAUCAGCCACACUGGGACUGAGACACGGCCCAGACUCCUACGGGAGGCAGCAGUGGGGAAUUUUGGACAAUGGGCGAAAGCCUGAUCCAGCAAUGCCGCGUGUGUGAAGAAGGCCUCGG